AUUCCCGUUGAUCCUGCGGGCGAUUGCUGCUAUUGGGAUUCGACUAAGCCAUGCAUGUCUAGGGUAGCAAUACACUGGCAAAAGGCUCAGUAACACGUCGAUAAUCUUCCCUGAGGUCAUGGAUAACCAUGGGAAACUGUGGCUAAACCGUGAUAGAGAAAAGAAUCUGGAACGAUCUUUUCUCGAAACUCGUGCCUCAGGAUGAGUUGGCGGCGGAUUAGGUUGUUGGUCGAGGUAAAGGCUCACCAAGCCCAUGAUCCGUAGGGGCCCUGAGAGGGGUAGCCCCGAGAAGGUCACUGAGACACUGGACCUAGCCCCACGGGGUGCAGCAGGCGCGGAACCUUUACAAUGCACGCAAGUGUGAUAAGGGGAUCCCAAGUGCUUAUGUUUUACAUAGGCUUUUGUGAAGGGUAAAAACCUUGACGAAUAAGUGGUGGGAAAGACUGGUGCCAGCAGCCGCGGUAACACCAGCGCCACAAGUGGCAAUCGACAUUAUUGGGCCUAAAGCGUCCGUAGCCGGUUUUGUAAAUCUUCUGUGAAAUUGUCAGGCCUAACCUGGCAACGUGCAGGAGACACUGCAAAACUUGGGACUGGGAGGCGUCAGAGGUAUGUCUAGGGGAGCGGUAAAAUGUGAUAAUCCUAGACAGACUACCUGUGGCGAAGGCGUCUGACGAGAACAGAUCUGACGGUGAGGGACGAAAGCUAGGGGAGCGAUCCGGAUUAGAUACCCGAGUAGUCCUAGCUGUAAACGCUGCGAGCUAGGUGUUGCAUAAGCUACGUGUUUAUGCAGUACCGUAGCGAAGGUGUUAAGCUCGCCGCCUGGGAAGUACGGUCGCAAGACUGAAACUUAAAGGAAUGGGCGGGGGAGCACUACAAGGGGUGCGGCGUGCGGUUUAAUCUAAUUCUACACAGAGAAUCUCACCAGAGGCGACGGCAGGAUGACAAUCGCGCUGAAGACGCUAUUUGACGAGCCGAGAGGUAGUGCAUGGCCGCCGUCAGCUCGUGCUGUAAGGUGUCCUGUUAAGUCAGGCAACGAGCGAGACCUGCACCUACAAUUGCUACCGGGUUCUUUAGAAUGUCCGAGCACAUUGUAGGGACUGCCUGGGAAACCAGGAGGAAGGUGCAGGCCACGGUAGGUCUGUAUGCUCCGAAUCUUCUGGGCUACACGCGCGCAACAAUGGUAGGGACAAUGGGAUACAACUCCGAAAGGAGAAGUUAAACCUCUAAACCCUAUCCAAGUCCAGAUCGAGGAUUGUAAUUCAUCCUCGUGACGUUGGAAUCCCUAGUAAUCGGACGUUAUCAGCGUCCAGUGAAUAUGUCCCUGCUCCUUGCACACACCGCCCGUCAAACCACUCGAGCAGGGCUUAUGUGAGGCCUUAUCUCCUUGAUAACGUCGAACAUAAGUUCAGUAAGAUGGGUUAAGUCGUCACAAGGUAGCCGUAGGGGAACCUGCGGCUGGAUCACCUCCU
rfam:Archaeon GW2011_AR16 QT07_C0003, whole genome shotgun sequence.